rnacentral:rRNA from 1 species
AAGUAGACCGCCUGGGGAGUACGGUCGCAAGAUUAAAACUCAAAUGAAUUGACGGGGGCCCGCACAAGCGGUGGAGCAUGUGGUUUAAUUCGAUGCAACGCGAAGAACCUUACCUACUCUUGACAUCCAGAGAAGCCAGCGGAGACGCAGGUGUGCCUUCGGGAGCUCUGAGACAGGUGCUGCAUGGCUGUCGUCAGCUCGUGUUGUGAAAUGUUGGGUUAAGUCCCGCAACGAGCGCAACCCUUAUCCUUGUUUGCCAGCGAGUAAUGUCGGGAACUCCAGGGAGACUGCCGGUGAUAAACCGGAGGAAGGUGGGGACGACGUCAAGUCAUCAUGGCCCUUACGAGUAGGGCUACACACGUGCUACAAUGGCGCAUACAGAGGGCGGCGAACUUGCGAGAGUGAGCGAAUCCCAAAAAGUGCGUCGUAGUCCGGAUUGGAGUCUGCAACUCGACUCCAUGAAGUCGGAAUCGCUAGUAAUCGUAGAUCAGAAUGUUACGGUGAAUACGUUCCCGGGCCUUGUACACACCGCCCGUCACACCAUGGGAGUGGGCUGCAAAAGAAGUGGGU